UAAAGGUAUUCCGGUAGACGAUGGGGAUGCGUUCCAUUAGAUAGUAGGCGGGGUAACGGCCCACCUAGUCUUCGAUGGAUAGGGGUUCUGAGAGGAAGGUCCCCCACAUUGGAACUGAGACACGGUCCAAACUCCUACGGGAGGCAGCAGUGAGGAAUAUUGGUCAAUGGGCGAGAGCCUGAACCAGCCAAGUAGCGUGAAGGAUGACUGCCCUAUGGGUUGUAAACUUCUUUUAUAAAGGAAUAAAGUCGGGUAUGCAUACCCGUUUGCAUGUACCUUAUGAAUAAGGAUCGGCUAACUCCGUGCCAGCAGCCGCGGUAAUACGGAGGAUCCGAGCGUUAUCCGGAUUUAUUGGGUUUAAAGGGAGCGUAGAUGGAUGUUUAAGUCAGUUGUGAAAGUUUGCGGCUCAACCGUAAAAUUGCAGUUGAUACUGGAUAUCUUGAGUGCAGUUGAGGCAGGCGGAAUUCGUGGUGUAGCGGUGAAAUGCUUAGAUAUCACGAGGAACUCCGAUUGCGAAGGCAGCCUGCUAAGCUGCAACUGACAUUGAGGCUCGAAAGUGUGGGUAUCAAACAGGAUUAGAUACCCUGGUAGUCCACACGGUAAACGAUGAAUACUCGCUGUUUGCGAUAUACGGCAA
rnacentral:rRNA from 1 species